AUGCCUAGACCAGAAACUCAAAUAGCUGCCUUUCGAGAUGUCUUGAUGGCAUGUGAGUUAGUCGAUCUGGGGUUUUCUGGAAUACCCUAUACAUACGAUAAUAUGCAAUCAUGCUCUGCAAAUGUACGCGUUCCCCUGGAUCAUGCAGUGGCAACAAACGACUGGAGGAACAUGUACGCGUACUCUUUUGUGCAACACCUUGCGUCCCCUUGCUCGGACCAUAUUCCAUUGUUGCUGCGAUUUAUGGCAGAACAGGAGAAGCUCAGAACCAAGGUGCGGCGAUAUGAAAUCUUUUGGGAAUGUGAUGCAUAAUUACCAGAUCUUAUACACAAGGCGUGGUCGGCCUUAGGUACAAUGGAGAAUCCGGGUCAAGUUAGUGCUUCCUUGAAAUCUACUAUGACUUCCCUGCGAUCAUGGAGCAAUAAAAAGUUCGGAAACAUUAUGAAAGAAAGAAAUAAAUCACGCAGUCAGCUUGAAGAGUUGAUGAGAAUGAAUGUUGAUAGACAGGAAAUAAGAAAAGUUUCUGAUAAGCUCAAUGAACUUCUGUAUAAAGAAGAGAUGCUAUGGUUGCAAUGGUCUCGAAUCAUGUGGCUGAAGGAGGGAGAUAGGAACACAAUUUUUUUCCAGAGCAAGUCUGUGGGGAGGGCAAGAAAAAAGAGGAUAAGUGAGCUACAUGAUAAUGAUGGCAACGUGUAUACAGAGACUGACACUAUGUGCAACAUGACUACUUCUUAUUUUCAGGACAUAUUUACGGCUGAUUGA
rnacentral:rRNA from 1 species